rnacentral:misc_RNA from 1 species
GAUGAAGAACGUAGCGAAAUGCGAUACUUGGUGUGAAUUGCAGAAUCCCGUGAACCAUCGAGUCUUUGAACGCAAGUUGCGCCCGAAGCCAUUAGGCCGAGGGCACGCCUGCCUGGGCGUCACACGUCGUUGCCCCCCCAUCUACUCCUUCGGGAUUGCGGGGGGCGGAUGAUGGCCUCCCGUGCGCCACGCCGCGCGGUUGGCAUAAAUGCCAAGUCCUCGGCGACGCACGCCCCGACAAUCGGUGGUUGCGAAACCUCGGUUGCCCGUCGUGUGCGGUCGUCGCGCAUCGAGGGCUCGAAAAAAUUGCCGGGUUCCGGCUCGGCUUUCAACGCGACCCCAGGUCAGGCGGGGUUACCCGCUGAAUUUAAGCAUAUCAAUAAGCGGAGGA